CCAGGAAGGAGGAGGCAGCCAGAGUGUUCUCUGCAGCAGAAGACCCCCUGCUGCCCUGCUUAACCCAGAUCAGCAUUUGCCAGACAGAGGUGAGGUGGUGACUGUCCUGAAUCAGUGCCUGGAUGCAGUAAUGGACUGGAUGAGGGUGAACAAGUUGAGAUUGAGUCCAGACAAGACAGAGCCAGCAACACAGUUUCAAGAAAAAAGGAGGCUAAAUGGUUGCAUUUUCUCUCCUGAUAAUGACAAAUAAUGCUAGAAAACAGCGAAGUAUAUAAAGCAGCACCUGACUUUAAGACUUUGAAGCCCUUCCAGAAGAACUGCAUGAGGCAAAUGAUCAACCACCAACAAUUCAUACAAUGAAACCGGUUUUGAACAGGAUCCCAACAACUU